rnacentral:rRNA from 1 species
CCGGCGCACGGGUGCGUAACGCGUAUGUAACCUACCUAUAACAGGGGCAUAACACUGAGAAAUUGGUACUAAUUCCCCAUAAUAUUCGGAGAGGCAUCUCUCCGGGUUGAAAACUCCGGUGGUUAUAGAUGGACAUGCGUUGUAUUAGCUAGUUGGUGAGGUAACGGCUCACCAAGGCAACGAUACAUAGGGGGACUGAGAGGUUAACCCCCCACACUGGUACUGAGACACGGACCAGACUCCUACGGGAGGCAGCAGUGAGGAAUAUUGGUCAAUGGACGCAAGUCUGAACCAGCCAUGCCGCGUGCAGGAAGACGGCUCUAUGAGUUGUAAACUGCUUUUGUACGAGGGUAAACUCACCUACGUGUAGGUGACUGAAAGUAUCGUACGAAUAAGGAUCGGCUAACUCCGUGCCAGCAGCCGCGGUAAUACGGAGGAUUCAAGCGUUAUCCGGAUUUAUUGGGUUUAAAGGGUGCGUAGGCGGUUUGAUAAGUUAGAGGUGAAAUCCCGGGGCUUAACUCCGGAACUGCCUCUAAUACUGUUAGACUAGAGAGUAGUUGCGGUAGGCGGAAUGUAUGGUGUAGCGGUGAAAUGCUUAGAGAUCAUACAGAACACCGAUUGCGAAGGCAGCUUACCAAACUAUAUCUGACGUUGAGGCACGAAAGCGUGGGGAGCAAACAGGAUUAGAUACCCUGGUAGUCCACGCAGUAAACGAUGAUAACUCGUUGUCGGCGAUACACAGUCGGUGACUAAGCGAAAGCGAUAAGUUAUCCACCUGGGGAGUA